UUGGUUAUUAUUAUCGUUUUAUCGACUGAUUAUCGUUGUUCGUUUGGUUUGGAAGUUUCCUCUAGAGAACGUGUACAGCCUUGCCGUGUAUACCUAUACUCUGUUCUGUUCAGUAUAGCCAGGAUACGUUUUUACCGACCACACCAAGCCCGAUACCACUAUCACACCCGUUUCAAGAAGCGUCCACGAUCGAGAGCUUCCCACGACACGUCUCGAUUUAGUUUCCGUGUCUUCUCUUACGUUGUUAGAGCUCGAUGUUGCACGAUGUGAAAUGCCCUAUAGAAUAGAGCGGAGCUGGGCACCCCGAACGCUUCGGUGUACGGCGAGCGCGCGAACUAGAGGCGCCGCCGGGCGUUUCAAGAAGGCAGUGGCGGCGCCAGAGGGACAGGUGGCGCUACGAGUGAACUCACGUGGACUGGUGGCGCCACGAGUGAACUCACGUGGACUGGUGGUGCCAUUAGUUCGUAUCCCACGGGCUGAAGUGAUCGGGAUCCCCCCGGCCUGGAAUAGAGGAUAGAGCGAUACUCCUUUGUUUGUUCUGUGUGUAUUGCAUCGUGAAGAUGUCGUGUGCAUUCGAUAUCGAUAGUAUCGAAGUCUAACGAAGGGAGCUCUUGGUCGUCGGGUCGUUAGUCCCACCGUAGAGUGUCACAUGGAUCUCGAGCAACAGAUCGUCAAAGACGAUUCCAGGAAACGUUGAAAGUGAUCGCGGGGACCUGUCCCCCGGCGAUCCAUGUCACACUGCCUAGAUCCUUGCGAGAGUUGUUGGGAACGAUUUGACAUACGAAAUGCUGUCACGUUUUGUUUGUUCCGGGGUCUUGUUUGGAUUCUCCUGUCAGGAUGUCAACGGUUUCGUUAGCAUAGUCGCCGCGUCGUGUCGAAUACCGGCAGCCUGACUCUCUCGCCGGCCUGACACGACACUGGUGCGCAUGUAUAUCGAUCGUGCGGAUCGACGGCUGGCCAUUAAAGCUGUUUUCGCUUGCGAACAAGUUCCGCGCGCGAUGGUGGGACGCGUGCAUGUGACUGUUCCGCGCCGAUAGAACGACGACGAUUGAGAAUCGCAACUCCUGUUCUCCGAGUCGAGGAGGAUAGAGCUAGAGUAUACCGUAGGGAGGGUUGGCGAAAAGAACCGGAGCUAAACAAACAAAAGCGUCUACGAGACAAUGGCCGGUAGCUGUGAGAUAUUCGGCACGACGCGCUCCACGUGGCUGCUCUACAGACGAGAAAGUUGGACUGAUCGUAGGUCUGCCUGUGCGUGUUAGGUGUACAUUAACCCUGUUUGCCCGACAUUUUUUGGCGAUGUGCCCGUUGUUCAGUGUGCGAUCCCCCCUCCACGUUUCUCUCCACAGCCCACUCCUCCGAUUCACGCUCCCGAGUACCUUCUCGCCUCCAAACGUACUCCGACGACCCGGCCCCAAGACCAGCGUUACGAUUCGUUCCCUCCUCCCCUCAGUUGCUUGCUAUUCCGUGCUGUUUAGAUGCCUGGUUUUUGUCCAAGUUGCAAAGGUUUGAGACGCGAUUUCUGUUCACCCGUUAUCCUUCUUCUUUUUUCUUUCGUUUUCUUCUAAUUUCGUUCGUUCCUUGCGUUGCCUCUGUCUGGACCCAGUGAAUUUAGACGUGGUCGGUCGGUUGUUCCGUAGAUCAGUAGAUGUUUUUCGUCUAGUCGGUCGAUCCUAGAUUGUUAGCUCCCCGAGACGGAUGCAGCAUGCGGUUCGACGAUCGAUCGAUCGAGUGUGUCGUCUAGUUUUUCGCGACGUUUGCAUCCUUCGGAUCGGUGUUCCUUGUUUGGCGUUGUCCCCGUGGUUGCUCCUUGUCGUUUGUUUUUCUGCUCGUGGGAAUGCUGUAGCGCAGACGCGUCGAUUCCGUCGCGGAACGAAAUUCAGUGGUCUAGGACAGUCCGUCCUCAGCCGUUCGACGUUCAACCUGGGCGGAUUAGCAUUUCGAUCCUCCGGUAACCGAGAGGAUUUCGUCCGGAGUAAAAUCGACCGAUGGAUCGUGGAUGUUCGAGAAUGUAUCACAUGCACGGAAAAUAUCGAAAUGAAGCGAGUUCCAAGAGGUUCAGAGAGUCAUUUGAAACAACUUUUUCCUUAGGGAAAAUGUUGCCCGAGGCUUCGUUAAGGAGAUAUUAACGGAAACCCCGACCAAGCAGAGCGUGAGUACGCCGGUGGACCAUAGCCUACACUAAUGCGGCCGUCUAGCGCGUAGCCUACACUAAUGCGGCCGUCUAGCGCGUAGCCUAUUCUACUGCGGCCGUCUAACGCGUAGCCUACACUACUGCGGCCGUUUAGCGCGUAGCCUACACUACUGCGGCCGUCUAGCGCACCGCGGCCGUCUAACGCGUAGCCUACACUACUGUGGCCGUUUAGCGCGUAGCCUACACUACUGCGGCCGUCUAGCGUACCGCGGCCGUCUAACGCGUAGCCUACACUACUGUGGCCGUUUAGCGCGUAGCCUACACUACUGCGGCCGUCUAGCGUGUAACCUACACUACUGCGGCGGCCUAGCGCGUAGCCUAUUCUACUGCGGCCGUCUAGCGCACCGCGGCCGUCUAACGCGUAGUCUACACUACUGCGGCCGUUUAGCGCGUAGCCUACACUACUGCGGCCGUUUAGCGCGUAGCCUACACUACUGCGGCCGUUUAGCGCGUAGCCUACCCUACGCACCGCGGCUGUCUAGCGCGAACCCUAUACUACUGCGGCCGUCUAGCACGUAACCUACCGUCGGGGUUUUCUGUCAAUAUCUCCUUAACGAAGCCUCGGACAACAUUUUCCCUAAGGAAAAAGUUGUUUCAAAUCACUCCCUGAAGCACCCCUUUCAAGGACCUCCAACAUGUUUGCGACACCCUGUAUAUAGUUUCCAGUUACACGAGAACAAAAUUUGAGCUUCACAAAUAUUUGCACGACUUUGUCUGGCACUCGCAGACGUCGAUAGGCUAACUAGCCGGAAAGCAUUAACGAAUGCUCGGCAUACUUGCAUAUAAAACACGCAUUUGCAUAAACAUCCGAUCGAAUUGGAUUCCAAGCGAGUAAUCGAGCAUUAUCCCGAAUAGCUGAUCAGACAGCGUCCAGGAAUGUCGACGAGAACGCGAGACGUUCCCUGUACAAGGUCCAAAUGAGUAACGUCGAUUACGUUUGGGUUCUUCCCCGUUUCGAGAGUCCCGCGAGGACGUCGUCGGGUAAUAAUACGUUGCUUUCUCGACGCCCACGCUAACCGCCGCCUCGAGAACCCUGACCGAAAUGGACCUCGGAGCACGAUUAAUCAUAGCUGUCGCGGUGAGGUGAUAAAUUACAGGUUGCCCCGCGAAUUCGCGCCACCCUUUAGCUCGUCGAUUCUCGUUUCGCGGGACACACCCCGACGAGGGCACACGGCCAUCGCCGUUUGUAUUUUUCGACGAGUAAGAUGGCGGCGCACAGCUGGGAUCGAUUGUUUCCUGGUUCGAAAAUGCCCCGAGGAGCUUCGCGGAAACGUAAACGAAAGAGGAAAAUAAAUUCCGCGUCGAAGACCGUAUCAACUAAACUUCGACGUUGUUACGCGAGAAUUCCAAGCACCGCGCGCGAAACAGCGUCGGUUGGGAUGUUUCUCAGAGUCCGACUCGGCUGUUACGUAAACCGUAAGAGUAGAGGGGAGAUAAUUGGUCCGAACAGACUCUGACCGGUCGCCGAGAGAUAUACUCUGCGAAUAUUCCUCGCUCGACGAGUGUUUCUGUUACAAUUUUUUUUUUUUUCGAAGGAGCUGGAAUUUCAAAACUAACCUAUCCUCUCGCGUUCGGCGCUAUUACAGAGCGAAUACGAACGUGGGAUGUGCUCAGGACUCUGGUAACGAGGAUCCGAUUUUCAAAAUUAAUUUAUUAAAUUUGGACGCUCGUCCGGUUGUUGGUUCAACUCGAAGCCGAUGAACGCAACAGGAAAAAUGCGAUAGAACUUAUACGAGUUGCCAUGUGUGAUUCCGUCGAAUAAGCAGAGUCACGUGACCGAAUCACAUGACCGAAUCACAUGACCUCAUCACGUGACCACACCCCGUGACGAUUUCGCUCCGAGUUGAACCGGUAACGGAGAGCUGCGCAAAAGGCCAGAAGUUUGCACAAAGGGAAACAAUUUCAAACCUUCCCGAACCCAUUCCCACUCUCGACACUUUUAUAAUUUUCGACCGUGGCCUGUUUUCGCCGUUUUACCCCUUCAACCCUCAGGAAAGACGAACGUUCAGACAACGUUGAUUUCCAAAGAACAUUCGCCACUCGAGUGUCGCCUCUCGCCAAUCGGAAAUCAGCACUCCCCAACGAAUCUAGAAAUCGACGCGGGUCGACUCUCUUUUUGCUUGGCCACGAAGGCUCCAGAAACCAAAAUAAAAAAAAAAAUAAUAAUAAUAA